rnacentral:tRNA from 1 species
GGGCGAUUAGCUCAGUGGGAGAGCGCUACCUUGACACGGUAGAGGCCACUGGUUCAAUCCCAGUAUCGCCCACCG